GGAUCCCAAUUUUGAGUCCCACCUGGCGCAACUUACCAAGAGACUUUCUCAAAAUAAAAAAUACAAAAGUGCUAGGGUUGUAGCUCAGUGGUAGAAGACCCCUGGGUUUCCAUCCCCCAUACCACACACACACAAUUUCUAAACAAGUGGGGGGUACCGUUAUGAUUCAUGCAGUGUCAUUUUAAAGCGGGGGGCAUUUUGUUUCCCCUUCAAAGAGAUAAUACACAAAUCAGAAGCAAAACCAGACAAGCACAUGCGUGACCUUUCCAAGGGCACACGCUGUGAAAAGGGGGACAGUGCUACUACAGCAACAGGAGAACCGGCUCGGAGGCUGCCACUGCGCCUGCCCUCGGGGCCGGCCGGGGAACGCAGGACCUAAAGCUCAGGAAACAAGGGAAGAAAUAAAGAGGUUGGAGCCCCACGUUCCUGGGAAUGAGGCCGAGAUGAAAGGGAGGCACAGCUGGGGGAAGCAGGCCGUGAGAACAGACCGCCAAUUGUUCCCGGGACGGGAGGCGCAGGGCGCUGCCACUGCCGCUUUGUGCUUAAUGUCAUUAAGGCCCGGUGGGGGCCAAUGUUUGGAAUCCGUCACCUCCCGCCAUUCUCACGGCGCAGCUGAGAGCGAGGGGCUUUAAGCAGGGUGGCGAGGGCUUUCUGAGCAGCUCAGCUAAAAGGGGCAGCGAGGGGCAGGCGGGCCUGGGCGGCAGGAGGCCGAGCCCUCGCCGGGGCGCCCGAGAGGCACUUCCGCCCCCUCGGCGCUGUCCCCGGGAGGCCCCAGCCUUGCUACUGCCCUGACCCCAGUUAACACUCCCCCUAAUAGCUGCGGAUGCAUAGAGCCUGAGAGCCUGAAAGCGCAAGAGCCAGAGUUAAUUAACGAAGGAAAAAAAAAAACAAAAAACCGUCUGCGCCUCCUCUCCACUGAGCCUCCCCUCCUCCCCACAGCCUCAGGCGCGCUGGGCCAGGGAAGCUCCCGAACCAGCGAGGCAGGGAACUCCAGUUCUGGCGCCAAGAGCAACACCAGCACUUGGGCUACUGCACAAAAGCAGCUGCGUCUCCCGCCUCACGCUGAUUCCCCACAUUUCCCAGAUGGGGAACCUGCAGCUUGGAGAGCAUAAAUAACUACACCGAAGGUCAACAAGCCGGCAAGUAGCAGAGGAAGAACACAGCGCCCCACACCCUGACUCAAAGACUGUGCACUGAACCCUAACCUCCCCUGGUAAGAGGUACCUAGCCCAGGUUCCUGCCUCUAUGCAACCCUGUGAAGACAAACGCCCACUGUAAUGUGUUUGUGUAUGCAUGCACUCCUUAGGGUGAGGAGAGGUAUCAAAAUGGUCUUAGAGGAUCAGGGGGGUCUGGGGCCAGCAAAAGGUUAAGAGCCAACAGCCACAGCCUAACACUCCAAUGCUUUGCAAAGCUGAUUCCACGACACAGACCUAAGUGGAGUCCUCUACUUUUCUCUUUCACACCUUUGCUCUCAAGAGGUGGCCUGACUUUCUUUCAGAGGGUGUCAAACUGGCAGUUUGACAGCCCAGGCAGCCUGGCAAUGAAAAUCCACCCAACCUGCUUGGGUGAUGCUGUCAGGAAAUGCAAUGGGCGGAGGGAGAGAAAGCGUUAACAGCCAGGCCCUAGAGGAUUAAGGGAUUUCCUACACAGCGUUUAUUACUUCUUCCCACUGCUAAAAACAAGUUCUGACACUGUCCCA